rnacentral:rRNA from 1 species
CCUACGGGAGGCAGCAGUGAGGAAUAUUGGUCAAUGGUCGGGAGACUGAACCAGCCAAGCCGCGUGAGGGAUGAAGGUACAGAGUAUCGUAAACCUCUUUUGGCAGGGAACAAAGGCGGGGACGUGUCCCCGGAUGAGUGUACCUGAAGAAAAAGCAGCGGCUAACUCCGUGCCAGCAGCCGCGGUAAUACGGAGGAUGCGAGCGUUAUCCGGAUUUAUUGGGUUUAAAGGGUGCGCAGGCGGUCUGUUAAGUCAGCGGUCAAAGCCCGGGGCUCAACCCCGGGGCUGCCGUUGAAACCGGAGCGCUAGAAUGCCGAUGCCGUCGGAGGAAUGUGUGGUGUAGUGGUGAAAUGCAUAGAUAUCACACAGAACACCGAUUGCGAAGGCAUCUGACGAAUCGGAGAUUGACGCUGAUGCACGAAAGCGUGGGUAUCGAACAGGAUUAGAUACCCCAGUAGUC